CCACCAGCCCCUCGAGUGGUGUGGAUGAUUAUUUGGCCUAAAGCGUCCGUAGCCGGCCGGGUAAGUUUCCCGUUAAAUCUAACGUCUCAAGCGUUGGACUGCGGGAAAUACUGCCUGGCUAGAGAGUGGGAGAGGUCAGCGGUAUUCUGGGGGUAGGGGCGAAAUCCUUUGAUCCCCGGAGGACCACCAGUGGCGAAGGCUGCUGACUAGAACACGUCUGACGGUCAGGGACGAAAGCUGGGGUAGCGGACCGGAUUAGAUACCCGGGUAGUCCCAGCCGUAAACGAUGCAUGCUAGGUGUUGGGUUGGCCACGAGCCACCCCAGUGCCGCAGGGAAGCCGUUAAGCAUGCCGCCUGGGAAGUACGAUCGCAAGAUUGAA
rnacentral:rRNA from 1 species